CUGCCAUGGCGGGUGGGUGAAAGACCCGAGCUAACAUGGGGUUAGUUCGUUAAAUUACAAUAAAGCCUCGUGCAGUUUGCAGCAAGCUCUCGAAUCCGCCUGGUGAUUGGGGUGACCGCGAACCUGGCCUGAGACCCCGGAUACUUGAGUUUUCGGGGGUCUAACAUUUUGGGGGCUCGUCCGGGAUUUGCGACCACCCUUCACCUGAGUGGAUUCGAUCUUGGAGGUAAGAUGAUUAGAGCUCGCAAUUUAUAUAUGUUCAAUGUUCUAUGUUUCUUGUUUUGUCUCUUGCUGUGUUGUUGGUUUGGUGCCAUGAUUUGUAUUUGAUCUGCGCAGAAUUUGUAUUUGUAAUUCGGACUUCUGGGGAAGACCCUGAAGUCCUGCCCUGGAUGAAAGUCCGAGGGUUGCUUGAUUUGAUCUGCGCAGAAUUUGUAAUUUGUAUUUGAUCUGCGCAGAAUUUGUAAUUGAACCAUAGGGUAAGCAGACUUGCGAGAACCUUGGUUCCACCCUGGAUGAAAGUCCAAGGUUUGGUUGUAAUUUUGGUUUGGGGCACCAUUUCUUUGCCGCGGUUUGUCCUGUCUAAUGUCUGUCCUGUCUAAUGUCUCCAUGUCUCAUAUUUGUGGCAUGCAUGGGUCAGGGGUCUUUUCUUGUUGCCCUAAGCACAUGGCACGGGAAAGGAGUUCUGCCAUGUGUCACGGGUUAGAAUGUGUUAUGUUGGAGUCCCCCGAGGCUGCUUUUCUGAACUCGAACCACUGCUGCAGCCCUUACAGCUGAGCCUGGCCCAUGUAGUUUAUAAUGUCAGACAGACUGCCAGAUCCUGACAGUGACCCAAAGUCUCCAAAGAAGAUUACGAGGCACCUCAGUUCCUACACCUGGACCAGUGAGCGAGAUGCUCAGAUGUGAUACCUGCCGCCUGCCAGAACCUGGCCGAGACUGUGGACAAAGCUGCUGGACACUGGAAAAUUGAUUGCACCCCUUUGCCUAGACAAAACAAGGUCAGUCUUUUCCAUGUCCCUCUUCCACAGAGAGGAAAAAAACUCUCACAGUAUAGGCCUGGCGAAGAUUGCUGGUCUUUGAGACAGCUGCCUCCAACGGUAAUGGAGAAACUUGGGUUUGGCUAACUGUAUAUAGACUGGCUUCUGUCACUUUUCAGUAGAUUCGGAUAAAAUAUACCCUUCUCAGAUCUCUGAAAUAUUACUGGUUGUCAGCUUGACAGCAUCGGGCAGUCAGAUCCACUAUAGACUAGUCAGUAUGUUAGCUAAUAAAAUAGUGACUAUCUACUGUUCAGGCACAAGUUCAAAGUUUUUAAGUUUAUUUUGGUUGUCAUCUAAGUACAAACUUAAAGGGCUUUUCAUCAGGCCAAAGGCACCUCUGUCCAAUCCAUACCUGGCACUCUGGACAGAAGAAAAAUGUACAUGCUUAUAGCCCAAAUCUGUAGUUUUUGCUAAGUAUGUUCCUGC
rnacentral:lncRNA from 1 species